UUUUAAUGGCCGCGGUAUAUUGACUGUGCAAAGGUAGCAUAAUCAUUAGUUUUUUAAUUGAAAGCUGGAAUGAAAGGUUGGAUGAAAAAAUAACUGUCUCUAUCUAAAUUAAUUAGAAUUUUAUUUUUAAGUAAAAAAGCUUAAAUAAUAAUAAAAGACGAGAAGACCCUAUAGAGUUUUAUAUUUUUUUAGGAAUAUAAUUUUUAGUAUUUUUAAUUUAAAUUUUUAAAAAGUAUUUAAUUGGGGUGAUUAAAAAAUUAGCAAAACUUUUUUUGUAUUUUUACAUUUAUUUAUGAAAAUAUGAUCCUUUAAUUGAGAUUAUAAGAAAAAAUUACCUUAGGGAUAACAGCGUAAUUUUUUUUAAGAGUUCUAAUCGAAAAAAGAGAUUGCGACCUCGAUGUUGGAUUAAA
rnacentral:rRNA from 1 species